UUGGGUCUUGGUGUCUUGUCCUUCGGGUAUACUAACCUCUGUCUGAGAGUGUUGCUGGGUUUGAACUGAACCGGUAUGUCGUGUUUCUGGAGGAUCCUCCUAAACUUCUCAGAGACUCCGGACAGGAUGUGGUGUGUAUUUCUCUGGCCCAGUGUUGGAGAGUUCUGAUCACUCAAAGGGGAGACACCUCAACAGAAACUAGGUGAACGACCCAACCAACAACCCUGCUAACGACUCUCAGAAAAUCCUCGACAAACUUGGUGUCAGAAGUGGGAUCCUGGAUACGUCCGUUGGGACCCGACCGAGGGGCUGGCCACCAUCCUCAACCCCCCAUUUUUCGAGGAGGACCGCGGCGGUCCCUAUCGACGGUCACAGGAUUCCUGAAAUCCACGCCAAUUGGUAAGACAAUUGUAAAUUUAAUGAUAAAAUGAAAUGGUCUGAAUGCUGUUUUGGGGAGAAAAAAAAAAAAGACGAGCCUUGAAUGUGACUAAAACAAGCAAAGUCCUGUGAGCAUUAAAGCAAGACCAGGUAUUAAAAGUCUCGUGAGCAUUAAAGCAAGACCAGGUAUUAAAAGUCCUAUGAGCAAAGCAAGAUCAGGUAAAAUAAGUACUGUGAGUCGGAACACGAAAUGGGAAAGUCACAAAGAGUGACCAUGACAACAGGGACCGACUGUCCCUGUAGUGAAGAAGGGUAACGGGCAUAAGGCGUUAGAGGCAAAAUGUGUGAAUGUAAUGUUUAACCUCUGAGCUA
rnacentral:lncRNA from 1 species